rnacentral:lncRNA from 1 species
CCUGUUAUGCGACCUUGCAUUAGCUGUAGCAGACUUAUUGUUCGAGCUAGAAGUUACUCUUGGUUUCGUUCAAUCUGGGACUAUUAUAAUAUGACUCCUCCUUUGAUCAUUUUCGGGGCAUCGAAUUCAACAUUAACUUUAAUUAUGCGUAUGACAGACCCUCACUUGCAAUCCAAUGCUAAUUGACCAAUUUUAACUCGAAUGAAAUGACUCAAAUCUAUCAGGACUUUCUACUGUACGUUUCGUUCUGGGUUAUCCGGCCACGUUGCCUUUCAUUUGUCCUCCUGUUCAUUAAUCUUUAUAACGGUCCCCUUGUCUCGUCUUGUAAAGAAAGCUAGCUUUCCAUCUUGUUCUCAGACGCUUACUCUUCCACCCACCUGCCCCCGUUGACAUCACGAGCUGGCAAUCUCAUUUAGGCAUUGCACACGCGGCCUGAAACACUUGAGCUUACGCAGAUACGUCCCUCUCGUUUGCUAUCUAUCUGUCUGUCUGUCUCACAAUUUAUAUAUCCCGAAUGUUGGUGUCUUGUUGGGCGUUUUCUCUCAUCUCAGUGUGCAUACACAUGUGAGAAUAUCUAAGUAUAUUAUGGGGUUAUCCCAAAAAUGAUGUCAUGCAUAAUGUUGCCUGUUCUCGACGCACUCCAUUUCUGACCGCGGCAAUGACGUGCGUUAUACGGGUGUUCAGCGUGCACAGUUUGACCACGUGCAAGCCUUUGUCCCUUACGUGUAAGGAUAAGCUGCAAGUGGUUUGCCUGAUCCUCCAGGAAGGCCCACGUGGGAAUAGGAUCUGUCAGCAACUGCGGCAGGUUCCGUGGCGCCAUUUCCUGGCGUCUUCCACCAAGGAGUUUAUCAAGUUCUUCUCUCUUUGUAAUGCUUCGGCAAUGUAUAAAUACCACUUGCCCUACCAGAGCCAAGUGCUAUUGCAGCUAGUUUCCUAAUAGCAAGAUUCACUCUAUUCCAAGCCAUGGAAUUCCUCCUCCUUUUGUCACUCCUCCUGGCAACCUCCCAUGCCGCGAUCAUCUCCGAUCCUGUCCUCGAC